rnacentral:ncRNA from 1 species
UGUUCCCUGGGAUUGGCUUUGGGCUUUUCCUGCGCAGCUUAGGUGGAAGGCGAAGAAGGCCCCCUUCCGGGGGCCCGAGCCAUCAGUGAGAUACCACUCUGGAAGAGCUCGGAUUCUAACCUUGUCAGACCCGCGGGCCACACCACGGUCGGUA